GAUGAACGCUGGCGGCGUGCCUAAUACAUGCAAGUCGAGCGAACAGACGAGGAGCUUGCUCCUCUGACGUUAGCGGCGGACGGGUGAGUAACACGUGGAUAACCUACCUAUAAGACUGGGAUAACUUCGGGAAACCGGAGCUAAUACCGGAUAAUAUAUUGAACCGCAUGGUUCAAUAGUGAAAGCCGUUUUUGCUGUCACUUAUAGAUGUAUCCGCGCCGCAUUAGCUAGUUGGUAAGGUAACGGCUUACCAAGGCAACGAUGCGUAGCCGACCUGAGAGGGUGAUCGGCCACACUGGAACUGAGACACGGUCCAGACUCCUACGGGAGGCAGCAGUAGGGAAUCUUCCGCAAUGGGCGAAAGCCUGACGGAGCAACGCCGCGUGAGUGAUGAAGGUCUUCGGAUCGUAAAACUCUGUUAUUAGGGAAGAACAAAUGUGUAAGUAACUAUGCACGUCUUGACGGUACCUAAUCAGAAAGCCACGGCUAACUACGUG
rnacentral:rRNA from 1 species